rnacentral:rRNA from 1 species
UACGGGGGGGGCAAGCGUUGUUCGGAAUUACUGGGCGUAAAGGGUUCGUAGGUGGCCAACUAAGUCAGACGUGAAAUCCCCAGGCUCAACCUGGGAACUGCGUCUGAUACUGGAUGGCUUGAAUCCGGGAGAGGGAUGCAGAAUUCCAGGUGUAGCGGUGAAAUGCGUAGAUAUCUGGAGGAAUACCGGUGGCGAAGGCGGCAUCCUGGACCGACAUUGACGCUGAUGAGCGAAAGCUAGGGGAGCAAACGGG